rnacentral:rRNA from 1 species
AGCAGCCGCGGUAAUUCCAGCUCCAAUAGCGUAUAUUAAAGUUGUUGCAGUUAAAAAGCUCGUAGUUGAAUUUCGGGAUUAGUACGUUUGUCGUGCCUUAGGUACGUACUGGUGUUACUGGUUCCUACCUUCUGACGAACCAUCAUGUCAUUAAUUUGGUGUGGUGGGAAAUCAGGACUGUUACUUUGAAAAAAUUAGAGUGUUUAAAGCAGGCUCGCGCUUGAAUACAUUAGCAUGGAAUAAUGAAAUAGGACGUUGACCCUAUUUUGUUGGUUUCUAGGAUUGACGUAAUGAUUAAUAGGGAUAGUUGGGGGCAUUAGUAUUCAAUUGUCAGAGGUGAAAUUCUUGGAUUUAUUGAAGACUAACUACUGCGAAAGCAUUUGCCAAGGAUGUUUUCAUUAAUCAAGAACGAAAGUUAGGGGAUCGAAGACGAUCAGAUACCGUCGUAGUCUUAACCAUAAACUAUGCCGACUAGGGAUCGGAUGAUGUUAUUUUUAAUGACUCA